GCUACAGAGUGUGAAGUGCACCACUGAUUCUCCUGGUUUUCAGCCACUCAGGAAUUGGACUGAAUUGUACCAUCAGUUUCCCUGUUUCUCCAGAAGUUGAUUUCCAGCCAGUGUAAAAUAACGAGUUUUCCACCGUUUGAUGAACUUCCACCUGACUUGCUUCUCUUUAAGCUUUCCCUCUAUGAGAGGCUGGCCAUCUUGAUUUACAACUGUUGAAGUUAUCCCAUCAACUUAUGUGAGUUAGAAAUUACUGAGUCAUCCAUCUGCUUAUCAAAUGCUUGUUAAGCACUCACUGCUAUGUACCAGGAGCUGGGAAUCGAACUCACGACCUUGCGCUUGCCAGGCAGGCACUUUGCCACUGAGCUAAAUCCCCAGCCCCUUCAUGGGAAGAUGUUGAUGAGCAUUUUAUCUGAAGAGGGGAAUAUAUGGAGAUGAUGAUAAAAAUUGAUACAUCAUUAAUUUCUGAAGGACUCUCAUGGCUUCGUCUCCACAUUCGCUGUGAAGGAGGUGGAGUCGCUUCCAGUCCCCGGAUGAAGAAAUGGCGCUACAGUGAGCUGAACAGACUUGCAGAGCAUAAUCUUUGUGAAAAUCGUUCCUUUUGUGAGGAAGACUUACUUGACAUUUGCUGAGAGAGAAGCCUUCCUUGACCGUUCAGCAAAUGCUCAUUUUUAUCAUGCAUUUUUAAGAAAACAGUAGCAGUGCGGAAUGGUGUCGCUGUUUGCCAGUGUGACGCUUGUUUCCAUCGGGGCAGCGACCAUGAUUCUCAUGUUGUUCCUUGCACAGGGGUGGGCACAGUGCAGAUGCUCAGCAAAAAUAUUUUUGAGUGAAUAGAUGAACUUACAGGCAUGUUCACCAUGGACUUCCUUGGUAAUCUGAACAACUACUUUGAAGAUAACAAUAUGCAAUGACAGCC